rnacentral:rRNA from 1 species
GAUGAACGCUGGCGGCGUGCCUAAUACAUGCAAGUCGAGCGAACAGAUGAGGAGCUUGCUCCUCUGACGUUAGCGGCGGACGGGUGAGUAACACGUGGAUAACCUACCUAUAAUACUGGGAUAACUUCGGGAAACCGGCGCUAAUACCGGAUAAUAUAUUGAACCGCAUGGUUCAAUAGUGAAAGACGGUUUUGCUUUCACUUAUAGAUGGUUCCGCGCCGCAUUAGCUAGUUGGUAAGGUAACGGCUUACCAAGGCAACGAUGCGUAGCCGACCUGAGAGGGUGAUCGGCCACACUGGAACUGAGACACGGUCCAGACUCCUACGGGAGGCAGCAGUAGGGAAUCGUCCGCAAUGGGCGAAAGCCUGACGGAGCAGCGCCGCGUGAGUGAUGAAGGUCUGCGGAUCGUAAAACUCUGUUAUUAGGGAAGAACAAAUGUGUAAGUAACUAUGCACGUCUUGACGGUACCUAAUCAGAAAGCCACGGCUAACUACGUG